CCUACGGGAGGCAGCAGUGGGGAAUUUUGGACAAUGGGCGCAAGCCUGAUCCAGCAAUGCCGCGUGCAGGAUGAAGGCCUUCGGGUUGUAAACUGCUUUUGUACGGAACGAAAAAGUCUGCCCUAAUACGGUGGGCCCAUGACGGUACCGUAAGAAUAAGCACCGGCUAACUACGUGCCAAGCAGCCGCGGUAAUACGUAGGGUGCGAGCGUUAAUCGGAAUUACUGGGCGUAAAGCGUGCGCAGGCGGUUAUAUAAGACAGAUGUGAAAUCCCCGGGCUCAACCUGGGACCUGCAUUUGUGACUGUAUAGCUAGAGUACGGUAGAGGGGGAUGGAAUUCCGGCGUGUAGCAGUGAAAUGCGUAGAUAUGCGGAGGAACACCGGAUGGCGAAGGCAAUCCCCUGGACCUGUACUGACGCUCAUGCACGAAAGCGUGGGGAGCAAACGAGGAUUAGAUACCCUGGUAGUCCACGCCCUAAACGAUGUCAACUGGUUNUUGGGUCUUNACUUGACUCAGUAACGAAGCUUAACCGGCGUGAAGUAGACGCCGUGGAGGACGGCGCGAGUAGAACGUACAANAGAGUAGAGCGNGAGAGNGACGACGACGACGACGAGGGAGGAGG
rnacentral:rRNA from 1 species